GUUACCUACGGGGGGCAGCAGUGGGGAAUAUUGCACAAUGGGGGAAACCCUGAUGCAGCGACGCCGCGUGAGCGAAGAAGUAUUUCGGUAUGUAAAGCUCUAUCAGCAGGGAAGAAAAUGACGGUACCUGACUAAGAAGCCCCGGCUAAAUACGUGCCAGCAGCCGCGGCAAUACGUAUGGGGCAAGCGUUAUCCGGAUUUACUGGGUGUAAAGGGAGCGCAGGCGGCUUGGCAAGUCUGAUGGUAGAGGCUGGGGUACAACCCCAGGAC
rnacentral:rRNA from 1 species